rnacentral:lncRNA from 1 species
UGAUGCACCCGAAUCAAAUAGAACCAUGGCAGGGUAGUCAUUGACAAGGAACGUACCUGCCAGAAUAGGCUUGCCCUCCGGAAUUUCUUCCACAUUCAUGUAAUGUGCUUGCCCGGUCUUGGUAUUCAGAAACUUGCACCGAACAAAUUUUUGACCAACACCUUGGCUAGAGGUUUGAGCUUUCAUGUUCACGUUUCCCCCAACCUUGGGAAAAUGGCAAUCCGGGCAAAGUGUCCCGGCUUCCCACAAUUAAAACAAACUUGCGGGUUCCCAAGGGCAGUAGGACUGUGAAACCCAGAAGGCGACGCACUUAUAGGG